UAUACAUGGUGUUGAAGAUGUGAAGGGGUUGAAGAAUUGGCGAAAAAUGGUUUGGGUUGACCAAAACCAUACAGUCCGUACAGGCCGUACGGUACGUACAUGUUUGGGUCGACCAAAACCUAACCAAAGGUGAAAAGUUCUUACCCGGGUCACUCGGCUGUGAAGAGAAGUUACCUUGUGAUUUCACACUUGGAUCAAGACCGUUGGUAAGGAGAUAAGACGUGGCUUGACAGGCUGAACCAGCUGGUAA
rnacentral:lncRNA from 1 species